AUGAACGCUGGCGGCGUGCCUAAUACAUGCAAGUCGAGCGAACGGACGAGAAGCUUGCUUCUCUGAUGUUAGCGGCGGACGGGUGAGUAACACGUGGAUAACCUACCUAUAAGACUGGGAUAACUUCGGGAAACCGUAGCUAAUACCGGAUAAUAUUUUGAACCGCAUGGUUCAAAAGUGAAAGACGGUCUUGCUGUCACUUAUAGAUGGAUCCGCGCUGCAUUAGCUAGUUGGUAAGGUAACGGCUUACCAAGGCAACGAUGCAUAGCCGACCUGAGAGGGUGAUCGGCCACACUGGAACUGAGACACGGUCCAGACUCCUACGGGAGGCAGCAGUAGGGAAUCUUCCGCAAUGGGCGAAAGCCUGACGGAGCAACGCCGCGUGAGUGAUGAAGGUCUUCGGAUCGUAAAACUCUGUUAUUAGGGAAGAACAUAUGUGUAAGUAACCGUGCACAUCUUGACGGUACCUAAUCAGAAAGCCACGGCUAACUACGUG
rnacentral:rRNA from 1 species